CCUACGGUGGGCAGCAGUGAGGAAUGUUGGUCAAUGGGCGCGAGCCUGAACCAGCCAAGUCGCGUGAGGGAAGACGGUCCUAUGGAUUGUAAACCUCUUUUGUCGGGGAGCAAAAGACGCCACGCGUGGCGUUCCGAGAGUACCCGAAGAAAAAGCAUCGGCUAACUCCGUGCCAGCAGCCGCGGUACUACGGGGGAAGCGAGCGUUAUCAGGAUUUAUUGGGUUUAAAGGGUGCGCAGGCGGAAGAUCAAGUCAGCGGUAAAGUUGAGAGGCUAAACCACUUCGAGCCGUUGAAACUGGUAUUCUUGAGUGAACGAGAAGAAUGCGGAAUGCGUGGUGUAGCGGUGGAAUGCAUAGAUAUCACGCAGAACUCCGAUUGCGAAGGCAGCAUACCGGCGCUCAACUGACGCUCAUGCACGAAAGUGUGGGUAUCGAACAGGAUUAGAUACCCCUGUAGUC
rnacentral:rRNA from 1 species